CCUGAUCCGUCCGCGUCGCCAUCCACACCGACCGCCUCCCCAACCUCCCCGUUCUCCUCUUCUUCCUCUUCCUUCUCCUUUCUUCGUCAUCGGUUGCUGUCAAGAAAAGAGAGAGAGAGAGAGAGAGAGAGAGAGAGAGAGAUGGAUGUGGUGUUAUGCGACGAGCUGGUUCAGGAGAUCCUGCAGCGGCUGCCUCCCUCCUCCGCCCCGUCCGUUUCCCUCGUCUCCAAGCGCUGGCUCUCGCUCCUCCGCUCCUCCACCACAUCCCUCUCUCUCCGCAUCCCCCCAAAUAUAGUUACUGCCACUGAUGCUACUGCUGGUACUGGUAAUUCACCAUCGCUUUCCUCCAUCCUUGCCUACUACCCUUUCCUCACCAACCUCACCGUCAUCUCCGCUCGCGAGGACGCCGACGCCCUCCUCCUCUCCAUCGCCGCCGCCGCAUGCUCCCCCCGCCUCGCCAUCCUCCGCUUCCUCCCGGCCUCCCCCCUCUCCCCCGCCGCCCUCCACUCCUCAGCCGCCGCCUUCGCCAGCCUCACCUCCCUCCGGAUCGCCUCUCUCCUCCCCCUAUCCUUCUGCUGGCUCUCCUCCCUUCCCUCUCUCCGAUCGUUCUCCCUCGUCCGCUCACGCCCCAAACGCCUGCCCGGCUGUCGGCGAGAACCGCCAUGGCAAGAAGCGGAAGAGCCGCCGCCGCCGCCGGCUGAAGAGGACGAGGACGACGAUUUCGAUCAGUCGACGCCCGUGACGCUGCCGCUUGAGAGCCUGUCCUUGUCCGGCAUCUGCGCCGCCGACCGCGGUCUCUCCUGGCUGUGGCGCCGGUGCGCGGGACUCCGGUGGCUGCAGCUGCGCGCCUGCGAGGGGACCGGCGACGGCCCCUCAUCCCCAGCCUUCCCCCUCUGCCUCCCCGGCCUCCUCGGCCUCGAGCUCCGCACCUGCCGCGCGAUCGCCGACCGCGUCCUCCUCCAUGCCGCCGAACGCUGCCGUGCCCUCACCUCUUUCCUCCUCUACGACGGCGGCAGCCGCGACGCCCUCCGCCACUUCAUCCAUCGUCGCGGUGCCGCACUUCGUACCCUCGACCUCCGCCUCCCGCUCGACCUUCAUAACGACCACCUCUUCGCCAUCGCUGCCGACGACCACCGUGGCGGUACCGGCGCGCCCAGCGGGUCCGGCCACCAGCUCGCCGCCCUACGCCUGCACAGCUGCUGCCUUGUCACGGGAGACGGGCUCCGCUCCCUCGCAUCGUCCCCGGCUGGUGCGGCGAUUGAGGAGCUCGCCCUGGUGAAUUGUGAUGUCGUGGAGCGGGAACCCGGGCUGCUCACCUUCCUCAGUCAGAGCAUGCAGCGGCUGCGGAGGCUGGACUUGUCCCACACUGAGACGCUGACCGAUAAGGAGGUGGGAUCGAUGCUUGCGUCUUGCAGGAAUCUGGUGGAGAUCAGAUUAAGAGGGUGCGGAGCACUGACGGGUGCUUCUUUGAUUUCCUUGCUUAAGCACUGCGGCCAGCAGUUGGAGGUGGUUGAUAUUACUCGGUGCCCGGGAAUCGUCAGUGAUGCUAUUGAACUACUCGUCAUGAAUGCUUGCCGAUUGAGUCAACUGAUGGUGGAGGAGAACAAAGUCACUGAAGCUGCUAUGAUUUGGCUGUCUCGAAAAGCAAUUAAGAUAGGUUGAUCAUGUAGUUCAUAUAUCAACCGCAAAGAAGGUAUUACCAUUCAAAAGGGAUGGCACCCACAGAGAUGGACAACAUUAGCACUUCGAGGCAAAGAAGAUCAUCGAUCAGAGGGAGAGAGAGAGAGAGAGAGAGAGGAAAUUUUAAUGAUUUUGCAUGUUGAAAGACUCAGGGAAGUUUCCACCCCCUACGUUUAUCCUAUUGGAUCACAACCAGUGAAGGCCACUUAAAACUGACGAGAGUUGAGGAGAGAGGUCUAAAAUGAAACAAUGGAUGACAAGAGAUUGUGUCCCCAGACAGAGGCUUGAACCCAGGUCAGGUGCCUUCUUGAUGGUGUCAUCCUCUGCCUCUGUAAAUGAGAAGUCCUAUGAAGUGACUUCCAUUACCUAACUAGCGGAGCGCAUGGAACAUUAAUUUAUGGAGUAUUAAGCAAUGAAGACAUCAAUCCAAUUAUGGCCGUAUCAAUGUUCUUCGAUUUCAGAAGGCCUCACAAUUGGUUCGUCCAACUUUGUACAUCCACUUUCCUGGACAUGAGCUGAGUUGCAGGUAAAUCUCUGCUAUUGCCAAGGACCACAGAAAGAACAAGUCCAUGAUAUCAAUGAGAGCAAGGAUAAUUUGAGUUCUCAUGGGAGGCAGUGAAGAUGAUCACAACAAGUACAAGCUUGGAUUACAAAGCAGACUGUGCUAAAUAUCAUCUUUAGAUUAACAGGCUCAGAAUGAGUCAAUCUUGAGGGCUUGUGCUGAGCCAAGACAAGAACCUACAGCAAGUGCUGCAGUUGCAGUUGGAAGCAAACAGACCAGAUCUUCUUGUCUAUUAAUCCAUCAUAGCCCAUAAGAAUCUUGCUUGACUGUACUAAUACUUAAUGCAAGUCAUGUCCUUCUUUGUGCAGUUUUGGAUCCAAGAUCAAAUAUUGGAUGUGAUACUGGUGUCCUAGAAUGUACUGUUAUUGCUCGAAUUUGGUUCUGAUGACUGAACGUGCAUGCAUCUAUGCAUCUUCCAAGUAAAUCGUGUUGUUGAUGUUGUAGACGCACAAGCUAUAAUUGUCCCCUUAUCUGUUGUGUGAUUGCGUGGCUCGAGUGACAUUAUUAUCCCAACCUGCCCACACUCUUCUAGAUUUUUGGUGCCUGUCUUUGUUUCUUGUUCUGCUCGAAUUCCCCAGUCAACGGGGUGGUUGGUCAAAAGUCUAUUAUUUAAAGCUUGAAGAAAUGGCGUGUUCCACCGUGCCGGCAGUCUUCCUUGAUCGAUGAUCGCCAAGAACAAAACCGAGUUAGCAGUCCAGUGCCACACUCAAGA